rnacentral:rRNA from 1 species
AUUGAACGCUGGCGGCAGGCUUAACACAUGCAAGUCGAGCGGGGACUUCGGUCCUAGCGGCGAACGGGUGAGGAAUGCUUGGGAAUCUGCCCAGUAGCGGGGGAUAACGUUUCGAAAGGAACGCUAAUACCGCGUACGCCCUACGGGGGAAAGGGGGGGAUCUUCGGACCUCUCACUAUUGGAUGAGCCCAAGUCGGAUUAGCUAGUUGGUGGGGUAAAGGCCUACCAAGGCGACGAUCCGUAGCUGGUCUGAGAGGAUGAUCAGCCACACUGGAACUGAGCCACGGUCCAGACUCCUACGGGAGGCAGCAGUGGGGAAUAUUGGACAAUGGGCGAAAGCCUGAUCCAGCCAUGCCGCGUGUGUGAAGAAGGCCUUCGGGUUGUAAAGCACUUUAAGCGAGGAGGAAUGGCUGAGGGUUAAUAACCUUCAGCAGUGACGUUACUCGCAGAAUAAGCACCGGCUAACUCUGUGCCAGCAGCCGCCGUAACAC